AGUCUGCUGUCUACCUUUACUCGCUAGAUAGUCCGUCCUCGCUAGAUUUUACUUCUUGACCUCUCUAUAUAAUCUUAUUUGUUUCAUUCUGUUCUACAUUUUUUCUGUCCAGGGUCACAAGUGUGAAGGACAUUUUGCCAGAGUGUCCACAAGCUGGUGGAGGCGGCGGUAGUGGUCCAUUGACGUCGCAAAUAUGGGGAAGGGGGACAUUUCUCGAAGGAUUGUCCACAAUAGGGUCGCGGUGGUGGUGGAAGUCGUACCUGCCAUGAGAUAAACAAAAAACAAAAAAAAACAUCAUUUUUAGUGCUCAUUUUUAACGAAGAAGAGGGCAAUAAAGCAAGUGAUUUUCCUCAAGGAGGAAGCAUUGGUGGCAGCAACUGUUACGAUUGUAAUGAAGCUGACCACACCUCGAAAGGCUGCCCAAAUCUCUUCAGUGAAUUGACGGAAGAUGGAAAGCCACAUGAGCAAUACAUUCCAGAAGCUGUGACAUGCCAUGAAAAGGAACUGUUUAAGGGCAUUGUCUAUGUGGGAACGCUUUAACAAUUUUGAUAAAGUCAUCCUCCA